AUGGGGGGGCAGAAGCAUCCCACCAUGGGGUACCAUCCCACUGUGAGGCAGCAUCCCACCGAGGGGCAGCAUCUCACAACGGGGCAGAAGCAUCCCAUCAUGGGGUACCAUCCCACUGUGGGGUACCAUCCCACCACGGGGCAGCAUCCCACCCCAGCCCAGCCCCGGGGGGAGGAGAUGCUGCCGGGAAGCCGAAAAGAGCAGGACAAGGACCGAGCGAGGAGGGCAGAGGCACAGAGGUGUAGGAGAAGAGGAAAGACCCGGAAAGAAGUGGUCGACUUGGAUUUUCGGAUUUCUAGCUACCCCACGACGCCCGGGGCGGGGGCACCUACCCUAACACAGGAGGUAUUUCAGGCACGUCUAAGGCAUCGCAGGAGCUCUCUUGGCUUUCAGCAUCGCCUGGGUUUCCUCCCUACAGCUUCUCCCACCAGCAACGUGGCGCCAAACGACAGCAAAGAAAAAGUCUGGAAGCGGAUGAACAGAGACAAACUCUCAUGCACUACCACCGAACGCCGUCACAGGAGUUAUGAAGCACCAACCACGAACACAGGAUUCACUUUUUACUCGCAGAGCCGAAGCUAACCAUAACACCAAAGGUUAAGAAAGUGGGGUUGGCCAGCCACGCGGAGCUGCCGGCACAUUGAGGGGUGCCGGCCUCCUCGCUGACCCGCCGGCGGGGCCGCUCAAAACCCCCGGGGCUACCCUACCGCCAGAAAUUAAAAAGCACAAGACCAAACACCGCGUUAACACCACAGUCAUCUAAGCCUGUCGCUAUAUAUCUGACAACUUAAAUAAAAAACAAUGUUCUGGAAAGAAACCA
rnacentral:lncRNA from 1 species